GUGUUGACGGCUAAUUCGCGCAGGUUUGAAAAUGACGGUCAUGAAGUAACAGGAACUUUUCAUUUGCACUUGCCUGCUCAACCCUACUAAAUAGGCAACUCAAAAUGGAUACAGAUCAGCUGGAAAGCAAAGAAGCGGAUGGACCAUACAAAGCAACGAUGUUGUGGCGGGAGGCGGUGCGCGGCUUCCGCGAGGGCA